AUGGAGGCCAGGUACGCGGAGCUGCGACGCGCGGUGGAGGAGACGGCGGCGGUGGACGCGCACGCGCACAACCUCGUCGACACGGCCUCCUCCCUCCCUUUCCUCCGCUGCUUCUCCGAGGCCGACGGCGACGCGCUCGCCUUCGCUCCCCACUCCCUCUCCUUCAAGAGAAGCCUCAAGGAGAUCGCCGCCCUGUACGGCUGUGAAGCCUCGCUUGAGAAGGUGGAAGAGUUCAGAAAAGCCCAAGGGUUGUCGUCUAUCGGUUCGAAAUGCUUCCAAGCUGCCAAUGUAUCCGCCAUCCUCGUGGACGACGGCCUAGCAUUUGAUAAAAUGCUUGAGCUGGAAGUCCACAAGGAAUUUGUUCCCACAGUCGGCAGAGUUCUGAGAAUCGAAUGGCUGGCGGAAACAAUUAUUAACGACGAUUCAUUCAGUGGAUCAAGCUGGACGUUGGACUCAUUCACUGAAACUUUUGUGGCUAAGCUCAAAUCAGUUGCCAGCAAAAUUGUUGGGUUGAAAAGCAUUGCUGCAUACAGAAGUGGCUUAGAGAUUGAUCCAUGUGUUAGCAAGACAGAUGCAGAGGAUGGUCUUCGUAAAGAGCUAACAGGGCAAAGACCUCUUCGGAUUACAAAUAAGAGCCUCAUCGACUAUCUAUUUACUUGUAGUCUUGAUAUUUCUGUGCAGAGUCACUUACCAAUGCAGAUUCACACAGGCUUUGGAGAUAAAGACCUGGACUUGCGGAAGUGCAAUCCUCUAUAUCUCCGUGCUGUUCUUGAGGAUGAAAGAUUCGCCAAGUGCCAGUUAGUCCUUUUACAUGCUUCUUAUCCAUAUUCUAAGGAAGCAUCCUAUCUUGCAUCUGUUUACUCCCAGGUCUAUCUUGAUUUUGGUUUGGCAAUUCCAAAACUAAGUGUUCAAGGAAUGGUGUCAUCACUUAAAGAGCUUCUGGAGCUAGCUCCCAUAAACAAGGUCAUGUUUAGUUCAGAUGGAUAUGCUUUUCCGGAGACAUACUAUCUAGGUUCAAGAAGGGCACGUGAUGUCGUUUACCGUGUCCUAUCAGCUGCAUGUGAAGAUGGUGAUCUUAGCAUUGAGGAAGCUAUUGAUGCAGUUGAGGACAUCUUUAGAAGAAAUGCAUCGGAUCUGUACAAGUUGAACGUUGCCAAUGGGUCAAUUCACCAGAAAACUAUGAUAGCUGACAGUACGAUAGCAUCAUCUUGUGUUGAGCAAGAUGUGCUCUUUGUUCGCAUCGUCUGGAAUGAUGCUUCAGGUCAACAUAGAUGCCGUGUUGUCCCAGCCGGAAGGUUUUAUGAGAUUGCAAGGAAUAAGGGUGUCGGCCUGACUUUUGCAUCAAUGGGAAUGACUUCCUUCUGCGACGGCCCAGCUGAUGGGACAAACCUUACUGGUGUAGGCGAGAUCAGGCUUAUGCCAGAUAUGUCGACACUUUUGAGACUCCCAUGGUCGACACGUGAGGAAAUGGUGAUAGCUGACAUGCAAAUUAGGCCUGGAGAAGCCUGGGAAUACUGUCCUAGAUAUGUCUUAAGAAAAGUCACAAAAGUUCUGCUGGAUGAAUUCAAUGUGACAAUGAAGGCAGGUUUCGAGAAUGAAUUUUAUCUCCGCAGAAAAUUAGUAAGUGAGGGACAUGAGCGUUGGGUUCCAUAUGAUAAUAGCAGUUACUGCUCAACCUCAUCAUUUGAUGGUGCCUCAUCUAUACUACAAGAAGUGUAUUCUUCUCUUAAAGCGGCAAAUAUUGUGGUUGAGCAGCUGCAUGCCGAAGCUGGAAAAGGGCAGUUCGAGGUUGCCUUGAAGUAUGUCCUGUGCACUCUUGCUGCUGACAAUUUGAUAUAUGCUCGCGAGAUUAUUAAAUCCGUUGCUCGAAAGCACGGGUUGAUAGCAACAUUUCUUCCAAAACCUGACCUGAAUGAUAUUGGAUCGGGUUCCCAUGUGCAUCUGAGUUUAUGGAAGAAUGAUCAGAAUGUUUUUAUGGGAUCAAAUGAAUACAGCCACUAUGGAAUGUCAAACGUUGGAGAACAGUUCCUUGCUGGAGUAUACCAUCAUCUUCCAUCAAUCUUGGCAUUUACUGCUCCUCACCCUAACAGCUAUGAUCGAAUUCAGCCAAAUACAUGGAGUGGAGCUUACCUAUGCUGGGGGAAAGAAAACCGGGAGGCUCCAUUGAGAACCGCAUGCCCACCUGGUGUGCCUCUCGACAUGGUCAGCAACUUCGAAAUUAAAUCAUUUGAUGGGUGCGCAAAUCCGCACUUGGGGCUUGCUGCUAUUGUCGCUGCUGGAAUUGAUGGACUUAGGAAAGGCCUUAAGUUGCCUGAACCAAUUGAAUCAAAUCCUGCAGAUUAUGCUACCAAACUUAAAAGGCUACCACAGGACCUUCUGGAAUCUGUAGAAUCACUUGCUGCAGACAAAACUUUGCAUGAGCUAAUCGGCGAUAAGCUUAUUACAGCCGUUAUCGCUGUACGCAAGGCUGAGAUUGAUCACUACUCGAAGAACCCUGGGGCAUUUGGCGAUCUCAUUCACCGUUACUAA
rnacentral:rRNA from 1 species